AGUGAACGCUGGCGGCAGGCCUAACGCAUGCAAGUCGAACGGCAGCACAGUAAGAGCUUGCUCUUACGGGUGGCGAGUGGCGGACGGGUGAGAAAUACAUCGGAAUCUACUUUUUCUUGGGGGAUAACGUGGGGACACUUACGCUAAUACUGCAUACGACCUACGGGUGAAAGCAGGGGAUCUUCGGACCUUGCGUGAUUCUAUGAGCCGGUGUCGGAUUAGCUAGUUGGCGGGGUAAAGGCCCACCAAGGCGACGCUCCGCAGCGGGUCUGAGGGGGUGAUCGGCAACACUGAAACUGAGACACGUCCCAGACUCCUACGGAAGGAGGCGGUGGGGAAUAUUGGACAAGGGGCGCAAGCCUGAUCCAGCCAUACGGGGGGGGUGAAGAAGGCCUGCGAGUGGUAAAGCCCUUUUGUUGGGAAAAAAAAGCGUCAGGUUAAUACCCCACUGUUCGAACGGUACCCAAAAAAUAGGCACCGCCAAACUUCGG
rnacentral:rRNA from 1 species